AUUGAACGCUGGCGGCGUGCUUAACACAUGCAAGUCGAACGAAGUGGCGAACGGGUGAGUAACGCGUAAUCAACCUGCCCUUCAGAGGGGGACAACAGUUGGAAACGACUGCUACUACCGCAUACUGAAGUAGGGGAUUGCGUCUGAUUAGCUAGUUGGAGGGGUAACGGCCCACCAAGGAGAUGAUCAGUAGCAGGUCUGAGAGGAGUAACGGCCACAUUGGUACUGGGACACGGCCCAGACUCCUACGGGAGGCAGCAGUGGGGAAUCUUCCGCAAUGGACGAAAGUCUGACGGAGCAACGCCGAGUGAGUGAUGACGGCCUUCGGGUUGUAAAGCUCUGUUAAUCGGGACGCGGUACCGGAAUAGAAAGCCACGGCUAACUACGUGCCAGCAGACGCGGUAAUUC
rnacentral:rRNA from 1 species